UUCCUUGCAAGUCGUUUCUUCACAAUAAUUUGAUAAAGAUAGUAAUAGAUCCAUUAGUCUUGAUGAGAUGAGGAAUGGAAUCAAAUUAUUAAUAAAAGGGUCACAACUGGAUAACUUACAUUUUUAUUUCAAGUUUACAAUGUUGAUGGUGAUGGUGCUAUUGACUAUGAUGAGUUGAACCAAGGCCUUGAAAGUUUAUCAAAUAUUGAUGAAGAAAUUUUAGAGACAAACAAAAUGCAUUUUUACAUGUAAUACCAGUUCUGCAAAAACUUUGUCGGGAUAAAAAAAUUUUGGAGAGAUUUUGGCCUUCCUGGUUGUCAUGUAAACAUGUCAGAAAUGAUUGGUUGUAUUUCAUCUUUUUGUUUGUGUUCUUCAAAAUUAAUAUUUUACUGUUUGUGGACGCAGCAAUCAGAUACAAAAAAUCAACAUUUUAAUAUCAAUAGCCAGAGAUGCUGGUACUUGUCUCAUCAAGUAGUUGUCCUUAUACUAAUGUAUUGACACUCAUUCGAUCAGCAAGACUGUCUACUUGACAAAUUAACUACAUAAGAUUGUGGGAAAUACUAUUAUCAUACUGUCUCUAAUCUCUUGUUAUUUCAUGGCACAUUUUAUAAAAAUCAGUAAGUUAUAGUAUUAAUUAUGAUCUGUGUCAUGUUUUUGUUUUUUGAAAAUUUCGUACA